UCCGGGGGGGGCAAGCGUUGUUCGGAAUUACUGGGCGUAAAGGGCUCGUAGGCGGCCAACUAAGUCAGACGUGAAAUCCCUCGGCUUAACCGGGGAACUGCCUCUGAUACUGGAUGGCUUGAGAUUGGGAGAGGGAUGCGGAAUUCCAGGUGUAGCGGUGAAAUGCGUAGAUAUCUGGAGGAACACCGGUGGCGAAGGCGGCAUCCUGGACCAACACUGACGCUGAGGAGCGAAAGCCAGGGGAGCAAACGGG
rnacentral:rRNA from 1 species